UAGUACUUCGUGACAAGUGUUGAAACUCUGUCCAACGCGCAGUUCUGUAAACCUCAACUCCCAGUCGGCUAAAGAAGCCAAGUCAAGGGAACUGAGCAUUGCCUUCUGGGAAUUGGAGUCCUCACAUAGAUGGCAAAUAAAAAUUUGGAGUUGCCUUGGUGAUUCUUUUCUGUCAGAGCUAUUAGAGAAGCUACCAGACUUCCUAAAGCACAGAAGCUACUUUCAACAACUUUAUAAAUUCGACUUCUCUCGUUGCUUUCCAUGUCACCUCCUGCGUAAAUCUAGUACAAUUGGCAUUACAUAUACCUCAAAAGUCUUGAGCCUGAGUCCUUAUCGUCAACAUUUGCCACUGAUUGUAUCUAACCAAACAUUCUCUCUGAUCCUGGGAAAACAGGCCUCAAAAACAUUAAGCAGGCACUUCAACCACUAUAAUCUCUGCUUUCACUAGAGGAUGUUAACUAGUGUGAGCUAAUUCUUACAUAUUUUUAUUGCUACAAAAGACAUUCUACUCCAUGGAUAUGAAACUUGACUAGGUUUUGUUAAACCCCUAUCCUAACAAAAUCAUCCCAAGACCACCAGGGGCAAACUUGUCAAACCACAGACAAGGUCAAGUUCAUUGACCCAUUCUGAUGAGGAAAAUAGAAUACCAGAGGAACCAUAAGAUAUCUCAGGAAAUGAAGGAAAUAAGAUUUAUAGAAUUGGGGGGAAGGAUGGACUUAAGUGAAAUUUAAGAGUAUAUGACAAUCAAAGCUAGGCUGUGUGUAAAGAGGUCAACAUCAUAUCUGGACUAUAAUGUCAGGGUCCUGUUUCUUGGAAAUUACAAAGUUACUAUAUAUGUAGAAUGUUGUAUUCAGGUGCCCCUUCCAUGAAGCAAGCCUUUACCAGUUAAGUUGGACACUGAGACUGCUACUCUGUGUCAAAGUAACUUAGAUCCUCCAAGAAAGAGUAGAAUGUUUCAUUCUUACAGAUAUAAUUUCAAGCAACAUGUUUCCUUAAAUUGUACAAUUUUAAAGAACAAAUUUUUC
rnacentral:lncRNA from 1 species